rnacentral:rRNA from 1 species
AACGAACGCUGGCGGCAGGCCUAACACAUGCAAGUCGAGCGCACCCUUCGGGGUGAGCGGCGGACGGGUGAGUAACGCGUGGGAACGUGCCCUUCUCUGCGGAAUAGCCUCGGGAAACUGAGAGUAAUACCGCAUACGCCCUUCGGGGGAAAGAUUUAUCGGAGAAGGAUCGGCCCGCGUUGGAUUAGGUAGUUGGUGGGGUAAUGGCCCACCAAGCCGACGAUCCAUAGCUGGUUUGAGAGGAUGAUCAGCCACACUGGGACUGAGACACGGCCCAGACUACUACGGGAGGCAGCAGUGGGGAAUCUUAGACAAUGGGGGCAACGCUGAUCUAGCCAUGCCGCGUGAGUGAUGAAGGCCUUAGGGUUGUAAAGCUCUUUCAGCUGGGAAGAUAAUGACGGUACCAGCAGAAGAAGCCCCGGCUAACUCCGUG